CCUUAAGAGAAGAACAUAGUGCAGUUCCCAAGAGGACAGACAUGCUCUACCACCCAAGGCUACAGGAGGAAGCACCUGGGUUAGAUAGAAGGCAAAGGAGGCAAGGGCAGAAUGUGGCCUUGAGUCCUUACGGGAACAUCUAUGAGGACAGAUGGGCAAGGCGGGAAAACCAAAUCUGAGCAGGUUUACAUAUCAUGGGGGCUCUAGGCUAGAUAGGUAGUGUCUAGUUGCUGGGUGCUUGGCUCUAGGCUGAUCUCAGGCAUGGGGAGUUCUGCCUUGAGUACAUGAGGGCUGUUAAGGAGGUGAUUAUAUAUAUAUAUAUGCUUCAGGUUGGUUGGUUUGUAUGUGAAGGAUGUUGUGCUGGUUGGUUUCUGUCGAGUUAACACAAACUUAUACAUAUCUGGGAAGAGGGAAUAUUAAUUAAGAAAAUGCCUUAAUAGGAUUGGCCUAUGGUGAUUUUUUUGGAUUGGUUUAUUGAUGUGGGUGGUGACACCCUUGGAUAGGUGGUCCUGAAUGGCCUGAGAAAACAGUCUGAGCAGGUCAUAAGCACUCCUCCAAGGCCUCUGCAUCAGAACCUCCAGGUUCCUGCUCUAAGUUCCUUCUCUGACAUCCCUGGAUGAUGGACUCCAAGCUAUAAGCUGAAAUAAGCCCUUUUGCCCCUAUGUUUCUUUAGCUAAGGUGUUUUAUCACACCAAUAGAAGCCCUAACUAAGACCCAUGUAUUUGUAGGACAGCCUUAACUAUCUGUAGGAAUUUGUUCCCUCAAAAGGACAGGCUCUCUGGCAUUGGCAAAUCCCAGGAUGUCAAAAUAUAAUAAAACCCAGAGGAUAAAAAAAUGUGGUCAAGGUGGUGGUAUGCAUGGCUCAGGGUCAUGAACACCAUGUCCCUUGCCAGCUGAAGUGAAUGUGGUUACUUUUAGUGGCUGGCUGUCCCUUUGUCCUCCUGGAAGCCUUCUCCCUCUGCCUGCUUUUCUUUUACAGGAGGUUGGUGACACCACAGUGUUCAAUACUCAGACUUCCAGAUUACUGUGCAACAGAGACUCCUGUGUCACCCUAAGCACUGGUGUUGACAGAGAAGAGAAAAAUCGCAGAUGCCUGCCUCUCCUAAGCCCAGGGCACGCUGUGUGUUUCGAUUUCAUGCUGGUGGUCAGUCUAUCCCUGAAAAGCCAUCUUCUGCCUUGAAUUCCAUCUCCUAGCUACCUCUAUGGCUACCUGGGUUAUGUGGAUGAAGCUCAGGAAGAGGAUCCCUAAGACUAUAGCAGGAAAGUUCUAAGCAGACAUGGAAGUCACUGGGCUGGUUGAGCUUUGAUCUGGGAAAAUGGAAGGCCGGGUUUCUGGGUGCCCACUGCCAACUUUUGCAGCAAGAGUGAGCCUUGUUGAUCCUGCUGGCUCAGACGUACUCCAUUUCCUGGUAAUUAAACAAGUGGAGAUCAAAGCUGACAAAUCUCCCAGUCUCUCAGAACAGGAGAUGAAGGUCCUGCCUCAGCCUGUGUCUUGCCUCAGCACGGGAGUCUGUCUCAGCUGACGUCACUCUACCAAUCAGCCCCAGUCCGCAGAAGUGAUAAGAAGCUGCAUCACACCAUCAGAAGUUUUUUUGGUGCGUUUUUGGAGCUCAACUAUGCAAUGUAAGGCUGGCCAAUACAUGCAUGUCGUUAGCAAAGAACCCUUUAUCACAUGUCCCUUCAAGUGCUUGCUUUAGCAGAACACCCUUUCACCUGUGUCUGCUUCAGAGAAACAUUCCUUCGUGUGUUUGCCCCAGCAAAAAAUGCCAUCCAACACAACUGACUUUCCUAAGAACCCUUAAGUUUUCACUUCGGGAGUUUUGACAGACAGAUGACUGGGUGAAGCAGAAGAGGAAGGUGAGACCCUUAGUGUUGAUCAGGGUAUUAGACUAUGUUUUUGAGGCAAAAAGGAGAAUUAGUAGGUUGAGAGACUGUUAAGAACUGAGUAGAAGUGGCUAGGUUAUUUUGAAGAAUAUGGGAAAGCCUAGAGGUUGAGGGGAAUACAUGGAGUUGGGCUGGCCACAUGGUGGUAAUGUGACAGCUGGGUCCUUCUUUCUUUUUGGUAUUUCCCAUCCCAUGUCUGGAGCCCAAAGAGGGUGUCCUCCAAGCAGCCAGCCCCACCGGCCAAGUCUGCUUGUUUUCCAAGAGGUCCCUCCCUCUUCUUGGAUUGACAGGAAGAGAGAGCAACUGGAAAGACUGGCAAUCUGCAUGAGCUGGACAAAACAGAAAUACACAUCAACUGGCCAUUGUUAACAGUUUGUGCAUGAAAUGUUUCCAUGGCUCAUGUGUUUCAACACCUGGUCUCCAGCUGGUGGCGCUAUUUUAAGAGCUUGUGAGUGUGCAGCUGACUCACUGAAGACAGGCCCUUGAGGGUUCUAGUGUGGCUUUUCUUCCAGUCCUGUUGCUUUCCCAUCCAGCCUCCACAUGAGGAGCCACACACUUCCACCAACAGCACUGAUUAAAUAGCUCCUGCACUGUGCCUUCUCUGCAUGAUGAGCUGAAACUCCCCUGAAGCCAUAACCCAACAUAAACCUCUUCUCUCUUAAGCCACUUCUGUCAAAUACCCUCACAGUGAGAAAAAAAAUAGAUCUAAAUCUAUAUCUUUGUGCCUAUAUUUACCUUUUGGACCUAUCUUUGGUCCAUUCUGUGAAUCUCAAGCAUCAUCAAGACAUAUUGCAAGUGUUGUGCCAGGGAAAAGUUAGUGAUCCUCAAAACACACAUAGGAGCCAAUCUGAUGCGACUCACAGCAGGGUCUUUAUUCUAGUCAAGCCAGCUCCAGCCCCCCUCCCCCUCCCCCAACACACCACUGUCUUGCAGGAUGGUUUUGGUGAUGGAGCCCCGAAUGCCUAUCCGGGCAAGACUUUACAGUAAGCAGCAAGCAGGGAAUAUGUGUGCAAGCAUCAAAUUGGAACACUCCUGUGGCCUUUAACAUAAUUGGCUGGUGCUGAGAGUCAUAUCAUAAACUUAACUUCUG